rnacentral:ncRNA from 1 species
CAGAGUAAAUAUAUGUGCGUUAAGUGUUGUGUGAACGGGGAGUUGUCACAUAAACGAAAAGGUCUUCUUGCGGUACAUAUAUUGCAUCCCGCUGC